rnacentral:rRNA from 1 species
UACGUAGGGUGCAAGCGUUGUCCGGAUUUAUUGGGUUUACAGGGUGCGUAGGCGGCCCUGUAAGUCAGUGGUGAAAUACUCCAGCUUAACUGGAGGGGUGCCAUUGAUACUGCAGGGCUUGAGUUAAGUUGAAGUUGGCGGAAUUGACGGUGUAGCGGUGAAAUGCUUAGAUAUCGUCAAGAACACCGAUAGUGAAGACAGCUAACUAAACUUUUACUGACGCUGAGGCACGAAAGUGUGGGGAUCAAACAGG